GUGGGGAAUAUUGGGCAAUGGGGGAAACCCUGACCCAGCGACGCCGCGUGGGUGAAGAAAUCCUUCGGGAUGUAAAGCCCUGUUGUAUGGGAAGAGCGGACGACGGUACCAUACGAGGAAGCCCCGGCAAACUACGUGCCAGCAGCCGCGGUAAUACGUAGGGGGCAAGCGUUGUCCGGAAUUACUGGGCGUAGAGCGCACGCAGGCUGAAUUAUAAGUCGGUGGUCAAAGGCGGAGGACCAACCUCUGUAUAUCUAUCGAUACUGUGAAUCUGGAGUAUGUGAGAGGGAAGCGGAAUUCCCGGUGUAGCGGUAGAAAGCGUAGAUAUCGGGAAGAACACCAGUGGCGAAGGCGGCUUCCUGGCACAAUACUGACGCUCAUGUGCGAAAGCUAGGGCAGCGAACGGGAUUAGAAACCCUAGUAGUCC
rnacentral:rRNA from 1 species